rnacentral:tRNA from 1 species
GGUGGCUCAGUGGUAGAGCGCUUGCCUUGCAUGCCUGAGGCCCUGGGUUCGAUUCCCAAUACCA